rnacentral:misc_RNA from 1 species
CAAACCUCAAGCCUUGCUUGGUGAUGGGUCCCGCCCGCGUGGCGGGCCCGAAACUCGUGGGCGCCCCAGGCCGGACUCCAAGCGUAGCAAAACCCUCGCUUGCGGACGACUGGUCGGAGGCCGCCCCGGACCCCAAAUUUUAUCAAU